UACACCAGGUUUCUAUAUUCUGUUUUAUGUAAAUUUCAUUGUCGUAGUAUCCAAAUUUUGUAAUAAUAUGAAAAUGAUACGCUAAGUGAUACGAAAUUUAGUAUACGUGGACUUAAUUAAUUAGUUUGCAAAUGCUGUGAUAUAUACAAUGAUUUGCAAAUAGUUCUCGUAGUCACUGUAUUCUCAGAUUAAUGACCAGUGGCACAGAGCGAUUUAAAUUAUAUUUCAGUUGAACCACGUGAUUUUAAUUUUUACUUAAAUUUCAUAUCUUAUAUCGUAGAUACAUAGAAUUAUAUCUAAAAUUAUGAAAGAUUAAAAGUCAAGCGAAUCACCUAUGAUCUACGAUCUAAUGAUUAAUAAUCGAGGAUUAAUGUCUCUUUUAAUUAGAAAAUAGUAAGCUUCUAAGCUAUUAUUAGCGAAACGUUGAAUUCUUAAAAAUAGAUAUCUUCGACUGGAGAAAAAUAACGCUACUACCGAAUAUCUGUCAGAUUUGUGACACUUCGGUCUAGAUCGCUCCAUUUACACGUGAAAACUUCAUUUGAAUAAUAUAGCGAGGGGUAUUUUUGUUUGAGCAAUGAAAGUUCUAUUUCUGCUGAUUAUUACGAGCCAUCGUUGACCCACGAGGAAAGAAACGUAUUUUCGAAAUUGUUCGCGGAAGGUAAAUUCGACGACGAAACCUGUACAAAAAUUUGUUCGUUACGCAAAUGUGGACGAUGUGGCAGUGAACAAGUUAACUGAAUUUUCUACACUUAAAAAUCUCUAUCGACGGUAGCGAUAGAAAUACCGAAAGACAUUAGGUGGAAAUUUGGAAUAUUUGUAAUUACAUACCGAUAGAUAUUUAGUAAAUUUUGGUGUUGAACAUUUCUGAUGAUCAAACAUGGAUGAAUUCGAUGAAAUUUACAGAUAUUUGAUGGCGUAUGUAAUGAUUUUUGUAUUUUGUUCGACCGAAGUUCGUCAAGAUUUCCAGAGAAUUAUUUUUCCGGAUAACAUUAUCGUUUUUUAAGUCGAUAUUCAUUCGGAAUUCUAUUUCAAACAUGAAUCAUAUAGCGAAGCUUAGCUGACUGUAAAUUUCCUAGUUAUUCUAAAAGCCGUGAUUUCUUAAGUUAUAGUUCUUUUCAAUCGAGCCCAUUAAAAAAAAAAAAGAAUGAACUCUUUUUUACGCGUAACUUUCUCAAGAGUCUAAUAUUAUGUAACGAGUACCAAAGAGUUUCCUUCGCCGUCGUUAAAACUUUAUUUGUUCCUGUCACUUAUACGAAGUCAUUCGUUAAGCGUGGCCAUAAAUUGUCACGAAUGCGUAUGCGGUGUAAGAAAAUCGUUAGCGCGUAGAAAGAAUAAUUUGCACUUAAGGAGACGUAAGAGUAAAAAGUACAGAUAGCAGUUGAGAAUUUAGAUGAAAUUGCCGGUAGGUUUGCACAUCUGACCGUGCAACUUUUACGUGGAACAAUUGUUGGAAUGACGUACGCAAAGUAGGGAAGGGUAAUUGUCCUGUGCAUGCGGAACGCAAAGAAAGGGAGGACAUUGUAAGCGCAAGGGGAAACGGAUCGCCUGUGAUCAGACGUAUUUUACGAUACCACGGACAUUACAUUUUCCCAUAAAUUUAGAUAGCUGUUUCAAAAAUUAAAGAGCGCAAGUUCUAGAAUACAAAUUUACUUGCUGUUCGAUGUAAAAUUCAUGACCGUAUAUUUUCGUUUCUUUUUGCGUGAAACAGCCAUAAAAUCUUCUUUUUCCACAUGAAAAUUUCAUCACACGAUAUCUCUUUAAUUUAAACGUAUGAUUAUUUAGAUUUGUAUAGCUACUUUUUAGAUCUCUUGAUAACAUAGGCACGUUGUUAGUGUAUGUACAUGUCCUGCGUAUAAUUUUGUGUAAAUUUGGGAGCAGAGAUGCGUUGAAUAUUAUCUUUUGGUUACCUCAUUGCGGAACGUUCGGUACUCUUGUUCAAUGGAAUUAUGUAUUUUUGUCCUGCUAUUAAUUACUGAUUAAUUAUAUCGAUAUAAUUUUAGCAAUUGCAAACAGAUAAACAUGCUGACGAGCAUGAACGUAGUUUUGCAAAUUAAUUCAAUAAUUUCUACGUCAUAAAUUGGAAACGGUAAUUAGAUUGGAUAUCUGUUAUUAUUUAUUGAAUCAUUCAGUAAGUAAUCGAUCAAAACGCCGUUUAUAUGCAUGCAUGUUAAAAUAUCUGAUAAACGUGAUAAAAACUGCUUGAUGGUAUUAAUAACUGUCGAGUAACUCCAUUAACGGUCUCGAGGAAAAUUAGCGCGUACGAAACAUAUUUUCCAAAUAAAUCUCUAAUCGGAGAUAGUUUCUUCGAAAUAUCAUACAUUUGGUCCAUGUAACUUUUAAACGUUCGAAUACUUUUAUCCAAACAUUAACCAGUUCGUUGUUCCAGAUAUAUAACGAUUAUCUAUCCAACAAUUUUUGCAAUUAAUACAAUAUAGUUAUACGCGUGUAAUCGAUCACGAUCCGUCAGAUUCGAACUUUAGAAAAUCUACAUUUCAUACGCAUUAACCCGAUACCAAAUCAAUUGCAAAGAUUCUACAUAUUAAAAAACAGUCUGUUUGUCGACCAAGAGUACUCAGCUUCUCGAGCGUUAUGCAUUUCCAACAUCCUAUCGCGCGAAGAAUUAUACCUCGUUAAUUGCGAUUCUCCGAAUGAAAGAAAGAAAGAUAGCGGAAACUUCCAUAUGUACUUCUACGCACGCACACAUACACACAAACACACACAAACGUCCACGUAAAAAGAAAAAAAAAAACAGAAACGACCGAUCGUUUUCCACGUUUUCCCUAAGAGGGCCACUCUCUCGUUCGUUUAUCGCGGCGCGUUUCAUUUUCACGCGUUGGUGAUUCUCGACGACGCGACGCGACGUAUCGUCUCCUCGACUCAAUUACCAAUUUACGGAGAGCGAUCGCGGGCCACGAUUCCGUAUAAUCAUCGUGGCCAUUGGAGCAGGGACGAGCACGAGGUGAAGCCAGGUGAAAGAGAAGACUAAUCUGUUCGGUAUCGAAGAGCCGUUAAUUGUAUCGCGAGGAGAAAACGAUCUUUUAAUCCGUGUUCGAACCCUGAUCGCUGACGCUGAACGAUUUCAAGGAUCUGGCUGUCGCUAACUGCUGGCGUAAUUCGAACGCCAUCUUUGUCGUCGUCGACGUCGUCCUAUUUACACGCACGCACAGGGCGCCAGUUUUCCCUUGAUGGGUGCACGGACACGUUCGAGGUCGCAAUUACGCCGCGAAACCCGGAACAACGAUCGCCCAGUAAAGUGCAAUCGAGAAGAGAAUUAAUGAACGCCGCGCACCGCUGACGUAGAGUACAAUCAAUUAGUAAAGUUCCAAUUAACGUAGGUUUUAGGUCAUCCCGAUGGUUGCCGCGUGCACCGAAUCGACUGAUCGCGGCCUCGACUUCCGCACUCUCGCGACCAUUAAGAUCCCAUCGCGUGAACAGCUUUCUCAAUUUUAUCGGACCAAGUCUGUCAAAGAAUUCGUCCAGAAUUUUCCUCUGGAUUAUUAUUUGCUUUGUUUAUUCUUUUCUUUUUUUUUUUCUUUUUCUUGCUAAUCGAUCCAUUUGACGUUCUCGUCUCCUCAAUCGGAAGAUCUUCUGUGUUUGGUUUAGAGAGCGCAAUUUCCUGUAUUUGGUUCGAUAGGUACGAAUUUUCGGGGAGGUACUCGUAUUUGUCUGUCACCAGUAGCUAAUACGUCGUAUCUAGUAUCGUUUCAUUUUUCAAAAUAUCGCGCAUGCACUUCGUAAGAGACACACGACUCAAACUUUCAGGAAAAGCGAACAAUUGUUUGGAAACAUAGAAACCAAUUACUUUCUAAACGCAUAAUAUUGACGCGGGGAACAGACUCUACGAAGUGAUGGACAAAUAUUAUCUUCGUAAUCUUUCAUUCUUAGCCCUUGAUAUUCUAGUUGGACGAUUUUUACGCUCUUCUAACGCGGAAUUGAAUUAUUUUGAGUUGUAACAACUUUUGAAAUACAUUUGCACAUGUUGAAAUAUUUGAAGUUCUUCGUGUUUUUUUUUUUUUUUUUUUUUUUUUUAAUGAUAGAACUUCGGUUUUCUUCUGUUUCGACGUCGUAGAUAGGACAUUUAAACUGAAAAAGGGUAGUUAUAUUUAUUCGAAAAGAUUUGGAGGCUCGACAGUAGGUUUCUAAAUAUUUUCUUGUUAAUCGUCGAGAAGAUUCGAUGGAAAUAAUUAUACUUAAAACUAUAGGCAUUGGUUCUAUACAUUUGGACUAAUUAAUGAUUCGAUUUAAGGAUAGUGGAAAAUAAGCGCGCAAGUAUAGAAGCUCUGAGGAACAAACAACGACAGAAAGAAUCUUAAAAGUCGUUUUAAUCGAGUGAAUAGGAAAGAAAUAACUACGCAAAUUUGAAAUCUUUCUCUUCGCUUCGUUCCUAAUUUGUUGUUUCUACUAUUUGAAAGUGAGAAAUUAAAACGAAUUAUUAUAGUACAAAAAUUAUUUAGAUUUACGUAAAACUAGGAUGAUUUUUUCUAGAGAUAAUCGUUUUCUUAAACCAAGUAUAUAUAACCUCUACCAAUUUGUUUAGCGUAUUUAGAGGUUAAUUAGAGAACUUUUUUCUUCGAUUACGAAUAUUUUAGAAGUUAAAUCGUUGAAAUAUCGACAAGGAAGCUUUUCAAGCUCUAUAAUUUAUACUUCAAAAAAUGUGCAAUAUAAUUUGAUAAAUUAUUCGAGCAAUUUAUCGAACGUUGUUAAAAAUCUAGAAAUUUUUACGAAACUCACCCGUCGUCGGUUAUAGUUUUCCUUAUUUUCCACGUACGUAUCUCUAUAUUUCCCUUCAAUAACUAUGUUAUCUACGUUUAAUUUUCGUUUGUUUCGUCGAGGGGCAUUUAUUAUUCUGAAAAUCGAAUAUUUCUACUUGUAUUUCCUAUUACUCUUUUAUUUAAACAAUAAUUUAUUAUGUUAUUAUCCGAGCAUUUUUGACACGAACGUCCACGUUUUCGCCGAGACGCAACGCCACCCCUUUCAACCUCUUUGUCUUCGAGACUCGCGAAACGGAAUAGAAGCGAUAUGCGGUACGAGAACGAAUUCUAACCGCGAACCUCGCGAAGACCAUUCGAUUUUCGAUCUCAUCUUCGUCAUCGUCGUGAAAACUGCACGUGCCUCGAAUUCUAUCGUACACCGGUCCCUCUAUAUGUAUAUACGAUAAUAGAAAAUGAACGUAAGCGAUAUAAGUAUUUCGCCUAGAUACUUAGAUCCUCUUGUUAAUGUUUAGUUUAAUAAUCGUUCGCCAAAAAUACUGAAAAGGUGAAAAAAAGAAAAGAAAAAAAAAAAAAGAAAAAAGAAAGAAAGAAGAAAGGAAACGCAACUCUGAUCGAUGCUGUAUAUUAUAGGUUAUAUCAUAUCAUAGAUAGACUAUGGAUGUUUGUGCAAAACGAUAUUUUUAUAAAUACGACGAAAAAAAAAGGUAGGAUCUAUAUAAUGUUUCGUUUCGCUUAUCGAAUAUCCUAACGAAUAUCUUACUUCGAAUAUUUCAUAUAUUUCUGCGUAUUACGUCUUAUUUUACUUAAAUUUUCUAUAAACGCAUAAAUAUCCGUAUUCUAUUAUACUUGCGUAUAAGUUAUGUUGCAUCUUGGGGAACGAAUUCUCUAGAUAGGCGACGAAGCACGUUGCUUUUAUUAUUAUUACGUUUAUUUUAUUAUUACUUUGUUUGAUUAUCCUUACAUAGAAACCUUGAAGAAGGGUUGAUUAUUAUUUUUGCGAAUGGAAGUAAGAAAUUUUUCGUUGUGGUUCUUUAAGAUGCAAGACUGGACACUUAAAGAAGAGGGGAAAGCUUCGAUUCGGCUCCUAAAGAUCUUGGAAUCCCUUAGCUCUUAGUUCGGCGAAGUAGCUCUCGAGUUUCUGUUUUGAAGUUCCUAAAGACUCGUUCUAACUCAAUUGUAUAUAAUAUAUAGGCGAUAGAUCGUACUUAAUAGCGUAACUAAAUGUAAACGUCCUAUCGUUUGUAGAUAGCGCGUAAGUGAACGUUCGAGAUGUCCAAAAUCCGACGCGGAGCCUGAAACGUUGCUGUUUAACAUUUGUCUAGGCGCGUUUCGUUCUUCUUCGUUUUAUCUUACUUUAACUCUUCCCCUCGCACAUGGCCUUCAUCGAUGAUAUUAUAAACGUAUAAUUUUUGACAAAUAUUCUCACACCUAGCCAAUACCUUUGCACCUACAUAACGAGUCCUGUCCGUCGAUGUACUUAAGAUCAUCGAUAUUAAAUUUCGAAUCUAUCGAUGUUUAUUUUUGAUAUUAAAGUUCCCUUGCUUUCGUCAUAAUAUCGAUUAAUUGGAUUUUAAUAUUGACGAUUGAAAGUUCGUCUUUAUAGGAUCGAAUUGGUUUUUGUGUGAUUCACUUUUUUCUACCAUUUUUAUUGCGUUUUAGUUAAAGGAAUUUGACUAAAACUACUGACGAUUUAUUCCUGACGUUUGAACAUUUUAUCAGAAUAAUGGCGAACGAUCUUUUAACUUUUUUUAAAUACUUCUUAACAGCCAACGAUCCUCGAAAUGGCGAAAAUAUAAACAAUCGAAAAGUUAGAAGAUCUAUUUGCCAAAUUAAUCGCUAUCGAAUCGAACAUGUUAAAACAUUUUAUAGAUCUGCAAAGAACCUGUGUUUAAAAAUUGAUCGUGUACUAUUCUCUUGAUGUAUUUAAUAUCAAACAACCCUUCGAACGGUGAUGAGAACAUAAAUCACGAAGAAAAUGUAACAUCUCCCAAGUUGAUCAUUUCUUGGCUCAAUGUAUGGAAAGGCGAAGAGUAGAUCUUCGACGACGGCUUAUUCAUAAUUUUUCAAACUCUCGUUCCACGAUCUUUUCUGUAAAAUAAAAAGAUGUGCGAGGGGGGACACGAACCCUUUCCGUCCACGAACGUUGUGACACAUUAUUAAGUUAAGUUUACCUCGCGUAACACUGAUCAGUACGUUUGGCGAAGAUUCUUCACUUGUACUUUCGUAGCGUUUUCUAGCGUAGAAAUUGUAUUAGGAUCGAUUUGUAAAUAGAAGGUAACGCCGUAGCAUAUCUCGCCCGUAUCUCUUGCCAGGGGGUGUCACGUUGGAAUACACACAUACACAUAUCCGAUUAGAUUUAAUUCCUAAUUAGAGUUCCUGUUGAAGGCAGCUUACCGUUUGUUAACGGGGUGGACUCUCUAUUCUCUAUAUUCUUCCCUUUUUUUUCUUUUUUUUUUUUGCGAACGCGCGUUAAAACGAUCGUAGCCAGCGGAAAUCGACUUUGCUGGACGCUUACCAAUCGAAUCUCGUCCGGUUCGUUUCGUUUCGACUGGUCGGUGAUCGUCCUUUUCAAUGGAUUAACCAUUUCAACAGUCGAUCUGAUAAGGGAGAAGUUACGAAUUCUCUUGAAAAACCGUUGAAAAAAUUGUUUCGUUGGUGUUUGUUAGAAAUAUGAUUAUCGAGAGAGUUUGCCGAUUUGCUGAUUUCUAUAUAUUAGUAAUGUAAUUGCGGAGAAUGUUACGCGUUAGAGAAUUAUCGAGAGAAAUCGGUGGUUAUUAUCUUUACUAGAUUUAUCAGGUAUAUAAUACGUAUAUCGGAUGUAAAAUCGGAUAUUUAAUGGAAAAAUUAAUCGAGAGAAGAAUCGGUUUAAUUGCCGUGCCGCUUUUAGUCGUAUAUUAAACAGGCAAUCGACGAACGUGCAAAGAUGAGAAUAUCGGAGGGUCGUGUAGGCGACCACCGUAAUUCUAUCAUUUCUCGUGCUGAUUUCCCUUAAUUAUCAUUUAGCGGAUGGUAUUGACAGUAUUAAAAGAGUUACAAAGAGUUUUAGAUAUCCGUGUCGUGGUUGUUCCGACAAGAUACAUACGAGAAACACAAAUUACAUUGAACAUACGGAAAACGGAAAACACAUAAUAUAUACAUAUAUAUAUAUAUACAUAUAAGAAAUAUAUAAAAUACACACAUACUUAUUAUACACGAUAUAAUAGUACGCGUAUACUAAACGAAGGAAAGCUAUAAUAAUACAAUAUAUAUAUAUAUAUAUUUAUAGACGUAUGUACACGGAUUAACUACGAAAGAUACAACACGAGGACGCGUAAUUGGCAAGCACUUUUUACGAAGUACAAGACGUUAAUAGGAUUUUAUUAGUACCGACCGGAUGUGACGCGCGUGUUCCAGUGUGUGGGUGGGCCAGGAUACGUGGAUACGACGUGUAUGAAGUGCGUGUGUGUCCGUAUGUGCGUAGGUGUGUGCGUGGAAAAUAACGUAACGAAGAAAACGUCGAAAAAAAAGAGAAAAGAGAGGAUUUUUGCGCGGAACGAUCCUGCGUGUAUACUUGAUGAGAAAGAUUGAUUUAAUUAUAGGGUUAGGGGAGAGACAGGAGUGAGAACAAGGGCGUUGCAUGUACGAUAAUAAUUAUUUAGGUACCUAUUCUAGACGUGUAUACGUAUAUAUCUAUAUAUCAAUAUACACAUAAAUAUACGUAUGUAUGUGUGUGUGUGUAUAUAUAUGAAUAUAUAUACGUACAAUACACAGGCAUACAUGCGAAACCUAUAAAACGAUUAACGCGAUUAAUUAAUGUUUUUUUCCGGACUAAAGUUCCUUGGGGGUAACGCGUUUGGUACGUGUCUCGAACCGAAGCCACCCCGAUGUGAUGACGGUGCUUUGUUUCUCUUUUAAUUAGAACUAUAUUAUUGAUUUUUCAUCAUCCUUAAGCGGUAUAGUUAUGUUACUUAGAAUUUAUUUUGUUAUUUUAACAAUAUUAUUAUUAUUAUAUUAUUAUUACUAUUAAUUAUUAUUAUUAUUAUUACUAUUAUUAUUAUUAUUAUUAGUUAUUAUUAUUAGUUAUUAUUAUUAUUAUUAUUAUUAGUUAUUAUUAUUAGUUAUUAUUAUUAUUAGUUAUUAUUAUUAUUAUUAUUAUUAUUAUUAUUAUUAUUAUUAUUAUUAUUAUUAUUAUUAUUAUUAUUAUUAUUAUUAUUAUUAUUAUUAUUAUUAUUAUUAUUAUUAUUAUUAUUAUUAUUAUUAUUAUUAUUAUUUACGAUAUACUAUUACGUUUACUUAUACAUACGUUAUUAAAAUAUACGAAUGCCUAUUUUCAAACACGACAUAUCUUUGUUCGUUGUGUACAUUUAAAUCGUCAUUUAUUUUCUCUUAUUUCGAACCUUGCCAUUCCUCUUUCCUACCGUUCCUUGUCGUUUCUAGAAUUAAUUACACGUUAAUUAAUUUAGUACGGAUCAAUUUAAUAAUAACUAUAGAUUUAUUCGAAUGUUCGUUUCUGUUAACGCCGCGAUUCUCGUCUGAUCGUCGAAGUCAAGCUGCGUUGGGCACAAUUAAACAGUAGUUAAUGUCUCAUAUUUUUAAUAGGCUGGCUUAGAAAACUACGCGUGGUGCUAACGUCGAUCAUUCGAAGCUUAAUUUAGACCGGUAUAUCUUGGUUAGAUAAAAAUCGUACGUCGAUAUUAUACUGCUGGUUAACCUAAUACUAGGAAUGAUUAAUUAUAUUCGAAUCUUAAAAUGUUAUGCAAAAUAUAGAAGCUGUUAGUUUUGCAUUCAGCCACGCAGUGCUAUUAAUCGAAGAGCAGAUUGAAAAAAAUGCAUCGUUUGCAUCGUUCUAUUAUAAUUUCAUUCGUGUUUGGUUCUUCCCUCUAUUUUGCGCGUAAUAUCCCUAAGUUUAAAAAUAAAAUUAGUUGAAACUGCUUUCUGUUUAAUUAUAAAACAUUAGCGUAUUUUUAAAAGUAGUACAAUAACGAAGAAAUCAGAGAUGCGUUUCAAGGUAUUUAUUUGUCGAGCGUCUUACUUAGAAAGAGACGAUGAGAAAGAAUCUAUUUCUGUCAGAUUGGUAAGGUAGGCUGCUUCCGUUUAAAAAAGAAAAUCUUGAACACAGUUAAACGCCUUAUUACGUUUAAACUUAUCCAAUUUCAGUUUAUUACUAUCUUUUAUUUGCGAUCGAAACAAUAUAUGACUUGUCUUUACGCUCCAUCGUCUAUAAAUCGUUCGUGUGAAUAGUACAUCAACUAUAACCGGAUAGUUGAUCGUUCGGAUUAGUUCUGCGUAUCGUUCCGAUAAAUCUUGUUUAACACAAGUAUUACAAUUCGUUUGACGGACGUAAUAGCGUAGUUGGCGAUUGAUACAUCGCGUGAGAUAUCGCGGGAAUCAAUACGAUGAACAGAAGAAGCAAAAAGGAAUAAGCUGCAGAACUGAAAAAAGCAAUAAAUCGUCACGAAACAAACAUUAGAAAAGUCGAAUGGAUACUUUCCAAACGACAAACUCACAUUUGAAAGAUAUUCGUGAAGCUAUUUGAACACUUAUUAUAGAAAAUUUGUAGAACAAUAUCGUAUCUGUCGUAUGAAACUUUUUGAAAUUUCAUUAUUUUCUAUAUUUGUCUGGAAAUACGCAGUUAGAAAAAAAAGAACGAUAUACAGUAUGAUUAACGAAUGUCUCAAACGUAUAAUUAACGAUAAAAAUGGUCUCACAAAUAUAUAUUUUCUGAACCGUUUGAAAUUUCGAUAAGAGUUUAUUUCCACUUACACGAUUUAAUGAAAAAUUACGUCAACAAGAAAAAAACAGAAUAGUUUAAAAGGUAGUUGCAACUUGUUUCUUACAAAUUUCUAACGAAUAGAUCGCGGGUUUUUACGCACUUAUGUAAAAAGCAGAGAAUUCGCACGACGUGCAAAGAUAUAUAGAAUAUCCAAACAAGAGUAUUUCUUGUAUCUGAAUUUCUGUAUCUGAAUUCUACUUAUUUAAUCAUGCUCAUAAACACAUAAAUUCGCAUAAAAAUUUGCAAUUUAAUAACGAAUAACCGGAAUAAUCGACCGUACAGACACUCCCCGAUACUCGCAUCUUAUCAGAAUUUACAAUUUCAAAAUGUUUCGUGUAAUACACGUAAUAUAUUCACAAAAAGUUUCUAUAAGUGUUUAAAUAUUUUCCUGAACCACUGCACACGUACCGCGCUGUAUUAUACUAAGGUUUAAAGGCCACUCGAGAUCAUAAAUUUCUAAACGAAAGAAAUUUUUUCAUUUUCAUUUAUCGAUGAAGAAGACAAAAAUAGAGAAAAGGAUGAAACGAAAACUAUUUAUUCGAAUUGGAGGAUCAUUACGAUGUCAUUCGUACUGAACUACUGUACUUUUUGCGUUUAGAUCGCUCGUUCCAUCUACUCGAUGAAUUCUUAAUUAGCAAACUGGUGCGUAGCUUGACAGGUCAAAUUGCAGAUACGACGAACGAUGGACUUCUUUUUACCUCAUCAAUGAAUCCACGUACAUUUUCCUUUUGGUAAUGGAAACUAUCUGCUCAAUUACGAUCUCCUUUCUUCCCCUCUUUUUAGAGUCGAUAAUAACGUUCUUUGAAAUCGUUUCGUCGUUUGUUCAGUGGUAAAUGUUUGAAGGCGUAAAUAAAUGAGAUUGGCAAGCGAUACGACAAUAUUCCAAAUUUUGUAUCUGUAUUUUAAGUAUAUUUGACUAUAUUUAACUAUUUCUUUCCGACUACAAUUCUUGAUUAUAUAUUUGUGUGAUUUGUGCGACGAUUUGGAAAGAACAAUUAACUUAACUUAUUUAUUUAUUAACUUAUUAAUGCAAGGAGCAUAGUCUGUAUUAAUUUUAAGUUACUUCGAAGUUAAAUUAAGUUUCAAUUGAAGAAAAUUACAUUUAUCUCAAGCUAAUUCGUGGUAAUUUCAAGUAUUAGUACGUAACAAUUCUGGAAUCGAAAAAGCUCGUCGUCGACUUUCUCUUUCGGAAAAGUUCAAUUUCAACAACUUUUACUCUCCAAAAUAAAUAUUCAUAAAAAAAAAUAGCCUCAUCUACGACAAAUUAAGCUGCGUGUAUAAUUUUUUGACUUAAUUGAAUUCUUUAUGCGUGUUACGUCAGUUUCCGCAAAGAAGAAACAAGAAACAGAGAAGAAAUAAAAUAUUAAAUCACGCACAGUCAUUUUCCUUUCAGUAUUACGACACCACUAUCGUCAUUAAUUAUUAAUUUUCCGACAGACGCACAGCCUAGUACUGUGAGAGAAUUUGAUUUUUAUUUGCAACGAAGUCGAGCAACGUUCGACGUAUUACAGAUUUUCAGCGUAUUCUAGAUACACAACUCGAGAACAACACUAUUCGCAUUUAACACUAGAACUAUCGAUCUUUAACAAAUAUUUAAACACGUUCAACAUGACUGAUCUUUGUCUCGAUGAAAGUAAACGUUAAUAUUAUAAAAAAUGUCUUGGUUUUAGUAAUUGGAAAAUCCGAAAAUUUGUUAUCUACCAUUUUCACCGAUUUAAUAGAUCCAGUGUUAAGUUGGCUCGUGGAAAAUUUGUGAAUAUAUUACAAAGAUGUGGUUGACUGCCACUGACACGCAUUGCCGAUUACUCGUCUCGCGAAUGGCGCAUAUAGAAAUAUUGCGGAUAUGGCGAAUUAUUUUUUUCCACUAGCGACCGCGAAUUUUUAUGUUGAACUUCGCGACACUCGCUUUCCACGACUUUCAUGUUUCCUCCGCCAUAUCGGUAACCCAGGGCCCGAUAAAUGUUAUCCGGCGCGAUUCUACGCUCGUUCAAUUUCUUAGCUCUGCAUCAAAUAGGAUAUUAUUAGCCGUUUUAGGAUCGAAUUUUUCCUAGUUCGAACGCAUAUUUGGAAAAUUAUUCUAAACUUGUAUAUUAUUAAUUCUCUGCAUAAACUUUUUUUUAAUCUGAGAGAAAAAUUGUUUUACGAAGUGUGAAAGAAAGAUGAAAACAAGACUUGUAGUGUACAGGAUAAAACAAAUUUUUAUCUCUCAUUGAUUUAAGAUCAACUGUUUUAUGGUUACGAUAUUAUUAUAUCGUUAAUUGAGAAAGGAAAUCCGCAAGGCAUCGUUGAAUUUUAAUAUUUCUGCAUCGGAUAUUUCUAAUUUUGUUAUCUCGUUUGCAAGUGAAGUAAUUUUAAAUUGACGUUCCUUUCACGGAUAUUAGCAGUUCUUUAAGAGGAAAAUAAAAUUUUAUUGUGUAGUAAAUAUAGAAAUCGUGAAUAAUGAAUAUCAAUUUAACUAUCGAAGGAAAAUACAAACGAGUAUCUUCAGUUGGUCAGAAGGUCUGGAAUAAUCUCAAUUUAAAUCAAUUCAAAAUAGCAUAAAAUUUUCUGUUUCCUGUAGUGUCACAAAAAUAGUUUGAAAACUCACGCUGCAGUGUGUAACUAUCAUAAGGACACAUCAAUCAUGUGAAAUUUAUUCAUUUUACUACAAUACGAAAAAGAAAAAUACGCGUUUACUACGUACACGUUAUACACGUUUUCUCGAAGAAACCUCUACUUUUAACAAGCAUCAUAAACUGUCAAUGUUCCAUAGGAUACCAAUUCAUAAAUUAAUUUCUCAUCUUAUAGAAUUUCUUAACUAAUAAAAAAUUACUUCAACGACUUAGUUAUUCCCAUAAUAUCGUAUAACUCGAUAUAGUUUACUAACGUAAAAGCCAGUGACUCAAGCUACUUAUUAAUAAUUGACCUUUCCAAAAAAUCAAUUUUCGAGAAGGCGAUCAGAGAAUAUACUUUUAAACGUUCCAUGUCGACGACAUCGUAGGAAAAAAUUCCACCAUUAGCUUCUGUUUCUCGAACGACCAUCAAAUAUCGAAUCUCAAAAUCACAGCUCCAUUUCGAGAAGCAACGAUCCUUUUGAAAAAACAAAAAGACGCGCGAAGAAUGAUUUUCUCGUGCUCGUCUGCGAAAUGCACGAGUGUUUGUCGAUCGGUUUGGAACUCCGGGAAACUCGGACGUUUUUCUUUUCUCGCUUUUCUCGGACUCGAUUAAUCGUCGAACGCGGCGUAACGUGACUAGAGGCAGAAAGAGAGACGGAAUAAAAGGAAAGAGGGAGAAAGAGGAAGGAAAAAAGAAAACACUUUGACGAUUGCCGGCGCACUCGACCGACUGUAACAUAAAGUAGGCUUUAAUGAUUAACGGGAAAAACGAGUGGAAGAAGAAAAAAAAAAGACACAUGCGAUCAUACGUAUACACGCGUCUGUAGAAGACGCGCGUGCAAGCGCAAGUGUACACGUUCGUACGUGUACGUGUACACGCGCAUACACACACACACACACACACACACAACAAACAUACACGCGCGCGCGCGCGAAUAACACGUACACGAGGAGACAGGCAGGAAAUAAGUGGCAUAAGCAUACUUACGUAUAGUACAUUAUUGCAAACGCAUAAGCGAAGCAUAUAGAGUUACGAUUACACACGUAGAGGCGUGUUUAGAGGAUACACCGAGGCCAUUGGAAAAUUCGUGCACGCGUGCACAAGGCCACGCGUUUCGCGGGAUCGCGAUCGCGAUCGUUUUGUGUGACCGAAAUGACGAUGCACGAUAUUUUUACGAUGUAAGCUAUGGUGAGCUUUGGAAUACAUCGUUUUGUUGUCUUUUGAGAUUUCAGUGCGUUGUGAAAUGUUAAUAAAAAUGAGUUUAUAAGA